CCAGUUUGGUUGCAUUUUCACCCGUACAUAGGCGCGGACCGGCGUGUCCUUGGGAUUAGAGAGCUGGACGUUUGGCUUGCGAGCGGGAACGGCUUAGUCGUACACGGAGAAAGAACGAUUUAAAAAUGUGUGAUGUUGAGAAGGGCAAGAAGAUUUUUGUUCAGAAGUGUGCCCAGUGCCAUACUGUGGAAAAGGGAGGCAAGCACAAGACUGGGCCAAAUCUCCAUGGUCUGUUUGGGCGAAAGACAGGUCAGGCUGUCGGAUUCUCUUACACAGAUGCCAACAAGAACAAAGGCAUCACCUGGGGAGAGGAGACGCUGAUGGAGUAUUUGGAGAAUCCCAAGAAGUACAUCCCUGGAACAAAAAUGAUCUUCGCUGGCAUUAAGAAGAAGUCAGAAAGGGCAGACUUGAUAGCUUAUCUCAAAAAAGCUACUAAUGAGUAAUAGUUGGCCACUGCCUUAUUUAUUAUGAAACAGCUGUCUCAUGACUUUUUAUGUGUACCAUAUUUAAAUUGAUCUCAUACACUAGAAUUCAGGUCAUGAAUAGCUGAUGUAAUAUUUCUGUCCUGAUUUAAAUAAGAUUGGCUUGUGGCUAAAUGAAUAUGGUCAGCUUUUUGAAUUUUGAUAGUAAUUCUGGUUCAGCAAGUACUGUCAGUGUUUUCCCCUUCUAAAGAGAUGAUUAAACUUGAAUAAGGAAUGUUAAACUUUUCAGGGAUAUGGUGAAUGCCUUCUCAAACCCUAUAGGAGAUUGGUUUUAUAUUUAGAUUUCUAUAACUGGUUAUAUUAAUAUAUUUAAAUAUUGAGAAGCUCCCUUCACUGUCUCAUAGACCAGCAAGAUUCACCUUGUGUUUCAAGUUGUGUUCAUUCACUUGUUAAGGCAAGGGCUGAAGAUACACUGACAAUGUCCACUUUAUCUUUUUGGUCUUAAAUAUGCCAAUUUAAUUAAAAUUCUCCAUCUAAAAUAUUGCGUUUUACUUAAUGAAGGGCAUUUUAGUGUGGUUUAUGUAUAGCAUCAGAUAAAGAAUAUUUAGUACUUCUCACAUUUUAGAGAUGAUCUUUAAGAUCAGAUGUUUUUAAAAUUCAUUGUGACAUGAUAGGUUGGGAAACUUGCUUGUGAAUUCUUUACAAAGUCAGACUAAGUUAUAAUUCAGGAUUGUCUUUUAAACAGGUAUUCAGAAACAAAACUGUAGAACUACUGUAGGUGUGUGAUUGGUAAUGAUGCUUUUGCCAACUCAGAAGGGUUAAGGUAGAGGAGCUCUAUCAUUAGCACAGAUUUGUAAAUUAUCUGAUCAUAAGGCUUGAGAAUUAAAAACAAAGUCACAGAUCAUGAUUUUUCUAAUGUGCUUGAUUUAAUGACAUACCAAGAUGGUUGAAAAAUAUAAUACCUCAAAAUACGCAGCAUUGUUACUAGUCAUAGUACUAGAUUGUGUUUACUUGGUCUUCUAGGACAGCCUGCCCUAGAACACUUCAGUAAUCCACCCGGUUUCUUUGGCCAGAAUGAGCACUGCAGCAUUUAUGCCAAAGGUAGAAAGAAGAAUGUGUUUCUGGCCAUAGUUUUGUGGUUCAUUUGCCCAACUCGCAGCAAGCCAAAUGCUGAGACGCCAAGGUUUGCAGCAGAGAAACGAUUUAUACACAAGGCAGCCAAGCGAGGAGACGGGAGAACAAGUCUUAAAUCCACUUUCAUGAAGGUGA